GAACCAUCUCAAAAAGGCAGACAUGAGGAUUUGGUUGAUGAGAAAGGUUCUCAUGAAGAUAUAUACGAGUUGCAAAGAUAUCUGACAUAGUUACCUGUCGCUUGACGAUGAACAGGGAAACUGGUGGACUACUGGUCAAUGUCGCUCGAGGUAGUCUCUUGGAUUAUGAGGCCAUUCAUAAUGGUCUGAAGUCGGGUCAUUUGGGAGGCCUUGGAAUUGAUGUCGCAUGGUCUUUUGGUCCCAGAUGAUCCAGUGUUAAAGUUCCCAAAUGUAGUUCUCACACCUCAUGUUGCAGGCGGAACAUUCAUAUAUAUCCAUGGCCAAGGAUGUCUCGUAUGAAGGGAAUCUCAGCAAUAAUUAUCUUGAGCAUCCUGGGCAGAUUAUUAAUACUAAUAAGGCUGUGACUAAGAAAAACUGCAUCUAAACAAUGAAAUUGACAUGCCUAAUAGCAGCAAAUGGAAGAACACAACUGCAGACCAAAAGGCAUGUAUAGGAAAGGUAGAUCGCAUGUAUGUUGCUAGGCAUGUGCUCGUUUAGCACAUCUAUAAACACAUCUUUUUCGGACAUGUUCUGUAAGCUACCGGCCUUUGACUUCUGGAAUAUUCUUCCACAUUGAACUUACUUCUGCUUGCUAUGCAUUGUUGCUAUGAUUAAUAAGUGUGCCUAGACGUUGGCUAUCGAUAUCUCUUUCCAUUUUUCAUAGCAUAUACAUUCCUAAUCAUUAUUACAACCAUGAUCAUGGACUUCUGAUGAGAUGAUGGCCAAUAAAAUAGGAGUCAUCAAGUCUGCACAUUGCGUCAAUGUCUAACUAUGAUUACUAGAACCACACUUAAUGUGAAUAACGGAAUGUGGUGUUACUGUCAAGAAAGGAAUAUGGUGCUAAGGUGAAUAAAGUAAUGUCUGCACCACA